AUUGGCAAUAUCGUGUGGAGAAUUUCUUAACCUUAAUUUCUUUUGUCUUUCUUAAAAUGUAUAUUUAAGUGAUUAGUUUCCAUCAUAUUCUUUUGGUGAUAUGUUUUAUUCUGUUGAAUGUUAAUGAUGGUGAGUGGUGCAUGUCAUUUGUAGAUGUUGUCUUAGUUGAUGAAAUUAGUGAUGGAUUUAUCAAAAGUUAAGAGUUGUGGAAUGACUCUUGAGAGUAUGGGUUUUAAACUAAGUAGAAGUAAAAAUGAAAUAUAGCAUUGUGCACUUAGUUCUUGUAGAAGAAUGGAUAGGAGGUUCGAUUGGAUGGAAUUUUGGUGCCAAAAUGUUUUUUAUGUUCAAUCAUCUAGAAGAACGGAGUAAUAUAUGAGUAUGUAAUGCAUAGGAUCAAAAAUAGGACGGAUGAAAUGGAGGAUUUCGACGGGUGUGCUGUGCGAUCGUAGGAUCCCUGACAAAGUAAAAGGUAAGUUUUAUAGAAUUGUG
rnacentral:misc_RNA from 1 species